rnacentral:rRNA from 1 species
CCUACGGGGGGCUGCAGUGAGGAAUAUUGGUCAAUGGGCGUAAGCCUGAACCAGCCAAGUCGCGUGAGGGAUGAAGGUUCUAUGGAUCGUAAACCUCUUUUAUAAGGGAGUAAAGUGUGGGACGUGUCCUAUUUUGUAUGUACCUUAUGAAUAAGGAUCGGCUAACUCCGUGCCAGCAGCCGCGGUAAUACGGAGGAGCCGAGCGUUAUCCGGAUUUAUUGGGUUUAAAGGGUGCGUAGGCGGACUUGUAAGUCAGCGGUGAAAGCCUGGGGCUCAACCCUAGAAUUGCCGUUGAAACUGGUGGGCUUGAGUAUGUGUGAGGCAGGCGGAAUGUGUGGUGUAGCGGUGAAAUGCGUAGAUAUCACGCAGAACCCCGAUUGCGAAGGCAGACUGCCAAGCCAUAACUGACGCUGAUGCACGAAAGCGUGGGGAUCAAACAGGAUUAGAUACCCGAGUAGUC